rnacentral:lncRNA from 1 species
AAUACAAUAAAGCAAAGCUUGAUCAAAGAAUUAUUAGGUGUUAGAAAAGUUGUCAUACCCUUUGUAGUUCUACUAUGACACAUGUUUAACACUGUUAUGUAAUACCCAGUACAAUUAAAACUAAAACAUAUACAUAUCUACACUCCAGUCGGAUCUUCAAACAUGAGUAGUAGUGUAGUACUACUGAGUACUAAUACCUCUUUGUAGGCCGUAUUCUCGUCAAAGUGCACUUCUGCACC